ACCUUGGUAGUCUAAAGGCUUAGGACACUCACCCGGAAAACAAGAGAUCCGGUUCAACUUCCGGCCAAGGUA
rnacentral:tRNA from 1 species